GACGAACGCUGGCGGCGUGCCUAAUACAUGCAAGUAGAACGGCCAGUUUAUACCGUCGUUUGCUACACCAUAGACUGUGAGUUGCGAACGGGUGAGUCAUGCGUAGGUAAUCUGUCUGGUAGCGGGGGGUAACUAUUGGAAACGUUAGAUAAUACCGCAUAAUCUUAAUUAUUGCAUGAUACUUAAUUGAAAGGUGCAAUUGCACCACUACUAGAUGGAUCUGCGUUGGAUUAGGUAGUAGGGGAGGGAACAGCUCACCCAGGCGUCGGAACAUAGCCUAGCUGAGAGGGUGGUCGGCCAACCUGGGAAUUGGACACGGCCCAAGCUUCUUCCGGGAGCAACAGUAGGGAAACUUCGGCAAUGGGCGGAAAUCUGGCCGAACAACGCCGGGUGGGGGAAGGAGGUUUUCGGGUCGGAAAGCUCUGUUUUUAGAGAAGAACAGGCAUGAGAGUGGAAAGUUGACGCUGUGACGGUAUCUUACCAGAAAGGAACGGCUAACUACGUG
rnacentral:rRNA from 1 species